rnacentral:tRNA from 1 species
CUAAAUGUGCCAGAGGAGAUGGGCAUGAUUUAGGAUUAUGUUAUGGGUGCGUACACCCCAUUUAGU